rnacentral:rRNA from 1 species
UGCUCGAGUGGCGAACGGGUGAGUAACACGGUGGGUGAUCUGCCCUGCACUUCGGGAUAAGCUUGGGAAACUGGGUCUAAUACCGGAUAGGACCAUCGUUUAGUGUCGGUGGUGGAAAGUUUUUCGGUGUGGGAUGAGCUCGCGGCCUAUCAGCUUGUUGGUGGGGUAAUGGCCUACCAAGGCGUCGACGGGUAGCCGGCCUGAGAGGGUGUACGGCCACAUUGGGACUGAGAUACGGCCCAG